UCAGAAUAGACGAGGGAGCGUACACUUGGGAACAGCGUGACUAGGCUCUUCCUUACCUCAAGAAGGCUGCUCCAUUGCCCCCUACUAUCUGUCAGGACCUGGAGGAGGAUGAGUACACAAGUCCUGAUGGGGUUGUCGGGUAUCAACAUGUCGUUCUCCUUGCCAAAAGUCUGAUGAGACUCUUGGAGAGGCUGUCGAUCUCGACUCGGCAUGCCCAAAGAGAUAAUCGCCCUGUGAGAGAAUCUUCCAGAGGCGAACAAGAUGAGUCUCCUCAAAGACCACAGCAGUCGAGGGGGAAGAUAGCAUGAAGCGCUCCCUAUUUGGACAAGGACCUGGACCUGCCCUGUGGCCCAACACUAGCAGCACAGUAGAGGCUUUCUUUUUGGAGCUUUGCCAGACUGUCCUUGGUGUGCGGGACAACAGGUGGGCUGCCAUCCAGAAGGACUACAGGACCAUCAGGAACAUGAUGCUGCUAAUUAUUAAUAAUGUCUACAUGUAUCAUCAUCAUCUUACUAUUGUUAGACCGUCCUCUGACUUCAGCUCAUAGACCGUGGUGUUGGUCUGGGCCAUCAACCCUGGGCUGUUCAGCACCGCCUCUCUGACUGAAGAGGAUCGCCCACCUGCACCUCUUAGGGCCGCAUGGAUGCUGGUGACAGAGCUGGCUGCAAAUGGCCUCGACCAGGCGACUGCCGCCUGGCCACGUAGCAGGACCCGGGUUAAGUCUGAGAAAGCAACUGAAAGACAAAGAUUUGAACAAAGAAUACUUGUUAGUGUUGGCAGUGGAUGGCAACUGUUGAAAUAAUUAUUAUAUUAACCAAAUACCAUUGAACACUGUCCUUUCCAGCAGUUUCCCUUUAAUCGCUUUGAACCGCCCGCGCUCGAGCCUGUCCUGGUGACGGAAAGUGUCGACAACUCCUCUGGCUGCGGUAGUGUUUGCCACAGUCCUAUCAGACAGUCUACCUUUCGAUCCGUGAGCCCCUGAAGACCCUCUUGGCCAGCCUGCAGACCUGCUGGUAUCUGGCCCUUGGCACUCCUUCUGAAUGUUACAAAUACAUUAAAAAAAUAAAAUAAAAAGCCUUUCAGGAAACAUUUGGUUUAGAAUGUCAUGACAAAUAGGGGUGCAUCAGCUGGAUUACCUGGCGGGGCUACUACUGAAGUGGAGAACGAGGCCGGCAGCGAGGCUGGGGUGGUGGCGUCCUUAUCCUGUCUCCUCAAAGCCCUCAUCCUCCAGGGGUCCCUCGACAGCAUCAGCCUCAUCUGGAGUGUCGGGGUCCGGUUGACUUCCUGCAGCACUUUGUUGGUCUGGGUGUACAGGUACUCAACACCAAUGAAUUCACAUGUAAUGUGGUGGAAGAACGCAGACACUCCGUGGCCAUGGGGUACUAGCCCUUGACAUCCAAGACUCUCUGGAUGGUCUUGUAAAGCCCAGCCUUGGUGAGAAGAGUGUUACACCCAGGCCGGGUGCGUGCCAGCUUGAAUGACCAUGUAUGUAGAGGAACAGCGGACAUGCAAAGAAGGGGUCAGGCGACUCAGGUGGCUGAUUGUAGGUCAGCCAAGGUUGGGGAGGGUACCACCACAGACCAACUCUGGUAAUUUUAUAUCUCCCAGUGCUACUCCUGGUGAACAGUGUACGGCCGAUCUGCUGCUGCUCUUUGUUCAGACAUGCCCGCCAGCUCUCAGGAUGCAGCAGCUGCAUUUUAGACAAGAAAAUGACAGUUAAAAUACUAGUAGCUUACAGUUGUGAAUAUUCUGAACCGUUGCUGUUAUAAGGUAACUCACCUCUGGACUUGCAUGUGCAGGCCUUGGAGGCAGGAAAGACUGCCAUGGGGCAGCCUCCUCUUCACACAUAGAAAUGUGUGUUAAAUGUGGUCUUAGUCAUCAAGAGCUCAUUAUAAUGUUUCUUGCAAUUCUCCAAUAUGAAGAUACUAGGAACUGCAGUCUUUGGGGCAAGGAUCUUCCUCGCUGUUGAAUGCAGUUGUCCACUGAACACUGCCCCAAAAACACUGGGACCACUGCUGCACCAAGAGGCCUUUAACACCAAGCAAACAGUGGGGAAUAAAGUAACAUUAUACUUUAUUAGAUGAAUUAACAGGUCAUCUUUACUAAUACUAAUAUUUACUCUGAAGCGUCUUAAUACCAGCAAGUGGAGAAAGGGGUGUAGCUGCCUCCUAGUCAGGGUGCCUUAUGUAUUUAAGGGCUGCUUCUAUAGGGUCCCCAGGUUUCCUGGAUGUCUGCUUCCUUAGCCAGUUGACAUAUCUGACAAAAUAAAUAUGGAUUAGAAAUUGGAUUAAUUAUCACAAAAAUACAAAUGAUAUCAGCAUGACAUUAGUUACUCAAAUGACUGAUCUCACCCAAUGUGAUCCUUGUCUUUAUACAGGUUCUGUAGUGUCUCUGCCAUAGAUAAUAGAAAAGUAGAUGGGCUUAUGUCAUAGAGCCCCUAUAAAUCAGAAUGGAGCAAUUAGACCGCCAUCUUACCUGGGACCUGUUCUACACAAUGUACAAUACAAACACAUGGUAGAAAUGGCAUUUCAGUUCUUAUAACAAUUACAUUUCCUUAAUAAUAUAUAAAUAGCCACUGUUAUGCAUAACACAAUGCAUAAAAUAACUACUUUUCAGAAUAUAAACAAAUUAAUUUGAAAGUUUUUAGUCAUUUAUUAAUUUAAGUGCAAAAUGGCUAUGGUCUAAUGUAGGAAGGUGCAGGAUAGUACUUAAAUUAAUAUACAUUUGCACUACAACAAUUACCUGUGAUUUAAAAUUAUAAUAUGUUUGUAUAUACAUAUGAAUAUUUUCAUUUCAUUAUAGAAAUCACUAUUUUUGUAAGAAUGUGCUAAACGGAGCAUACUGGCUCACUGAAUUUGGUAGGCUAACAGCAUAGUAAUUGGACAGAAAUGGGAGAAACAAGUCUACUUUUUGUGGACAAAGGCAACCCAACAUCGCCAUCUGCUGAUUAUACACAGUAAUUCCUUUUAUUGAUGAAAACGCGUUAUUUCACAUACGUUGUGUGCAACGUUAAUUCAUAUUAUAAUAUAGCAAUCUAGCUGAGACCGGUGAUUUAAAAAACAAAGAAUUAUGAUACUGCAAAGUUACGUAGCUCAACAGCUACGGUUAGGCUGGAUUAGCGUUCUUGUUCAUGGUAUGUAAAGUUAAGUAUGUUAUACAUUUCUACACUAAUUACUGAUGCGGGAACAAUGUUUCUCACCUCCUUUGUAUCGUUAAUCAUUUUUCUGGACCAAGUUACUGCUGCACAAAAUACAACCAUGACUAGUGUAAGUGGCUUGACUUUUCCGAACUGGUCCCACGUAAAACGGCGGAGCUAUUGAGACGUCAGGUAGAACUAUAUGUCCCGUCAAUGCUUCAUAUCUAUAUCUAUGGUCUCUGCCCUGUACCUGUGGACGCCAACAAGGGCGUGGCUCUCCUGUCUUGGCUGUGAUGCAUUAGAGUAGAGGGUCAAGGUGUCCUUGCUGACAAUCAGCAGAGAUCUGGAGACGCUGCGCUCUCGCUCCUGCUGAUGGGCUAACCACCAGCCCCUAACCCACGUCGUUCUCCAGAAGCCACUUAAAGGUCUGACCCCAGUACACGCUGAACUGAACCGUAUACCGGCACAGAACCAGCAUCUCUGCAUCAGGGUCACCACCCUCAGAGACGACACGGGCCCACGCCUCUGCCUCAGCUUCUUGCACACCACAGCCUGGUCAGGAAAAAGUGCAAUUAACAAUGCAGAUUUCUCAGUUGAGAUAACCAGCUGUACUUCACUACUGUGAAUGUAUGUUUAUAGUUAGCUUGUAUACAGCUGUACAGUACAACCGCUACAUGCUGAACAUGCCAAAAAGCUAAUGGCUAAUGACGCUAAAUAAGAUAACGUCAACCUAAACGCAGACGCGAAGCAUACAUGACAUCGUAAUGACAGCUAUUUUGUUAAGUUCGACUUUAGUGUGCACUUUGAGAAAUGCUCUGAAAUUGUAAUGACUACCGUAAACCCGAUGAAAACUGUUAUGCAGUCGGGGCUGAACUCAAGGGACGAAAAUGAUUGGACCAUACCUGAAAAGUGAAACAGCAGUUGGGCCAUGGUAUUUGAGACAAGGUCCCAUCCUUUCCAUUUUUUUGUGUGUUUUUCUGAUAAUUGAGACAAGCGACGACUGGGAUUGGCUGACGGACCUGUCAGUCUUUUCAGAAUACUGUAACAAUUGAGAGAGCGGAACGUUCUCGACUGAAUAAAACAACGAUUCUACUUUAUUGAAUUAACUGGUCAUAUAUACUGAUACUAAUACGUACCAUGAAGACUAUUUAAGAUCUGCAGGGGGAGAUUGGGGCAGCUCCUCCUGGUCACGUGGCUUAAUAUACUUAAUCCCUGCAUUUCAGUUGCACAUACCUUAACCAUUAGCGCUGACCUGGAGACGCUGUGCUCUCACUCCUGCUGAUGGCUAGCCACCAGCCCCAUGACCCAGCCCACUUCGUUCUCCCGAAACCACUUAAAGGUCUGACCCAUGGUUUACACCAAACUGAACCGUGUACUGGCUCUGAACCAGCAUCACCACUCUCAGAGACAACCCGGGCAUGGGCCUCUGCCAAGACAGUGGAAUUUGGGCAGCUAUAUUACCUGGUUCUGGAAGAAACAUGUGAAGCGGGGGACGUCAAUGGCUCGUUUCAAAGUCUAUAUCCAUUGCAGAGACAAAACUGCUGCUGAAGCAUCUCCUAAUCCCGGUAACUAUAUAUUCUGAUCUUGACUUUGAUGUCAUUUGUUUCAGUAAAUGAAAUAUUGCCGCAAUUUAGUCUGAGUAUCUCUCUCUGUCUGUGUGUGUAUGUGUGUGUGAUUUAAAAGCUGUUUAGCUAUCUGAUCUGGAAUUACUGGCUAUCAUCAUGGAACUGGAACAAGGAAUGUUUCUGUUUGUGAGCGAGCUAGUAGAGAAGAAUACUAGUAUCAAAUGAACUGUGACCUAAUCUUUUUGUGUUAGUCUCAUUGUUAGCUAUAACAGGUUACACUUUAAAGUGGUAAAGGUAAGUGGUUAUUUCUAAAAUGCUUAGUAGUUGGGCUUAGAAAUCUUUGUAAAAUGAGUCACUCAUUUUCAUCUGUUUUGCAUGGCAUUUAUUAGCCAUUUCAGUCUUUGGAAUUGUAAUCUGUGCAUCACUUCGCUUCAGGUAAUUUGUUGCUUGAUUACUUGCUCUAUCACAGUGUUCUGUAGCUUAUUAAAUGUAGAUUUGUAUGCAGACAAUAUUCAAUUCUUCUAACACUGAUCUAACUAUGUCAAAGUGCAAUAGUUGUUUUACAGGCUUUUAAUAUAAAGCUUUAUUGUUAUCAGUAAAGUCAACAAUUAGAUUUUUUGUGAUUCUAAUUUCUAUGCAUUAUGUUGCAGUUCCUACUGUGCCAGCCUACCUCUCCCAGCCAGGAGGUGGACCAGUUCUGCCAGAUGCUGGCACUUCGGGGAACUUAUUGCGGUGGAGUAUUUGUACUCCCAGACUGGCGGGCAGAGGAGGACACUCCAGAUGGGAUGUCAGAUGACACAGAGAAAGGAGAGGGAGAGGACAUCUCGUGGAGUUGGAAGAGUUUGAUGACGACCACCAUUUCCUUAUGUUCUCUGGAUGAGAGUCUACCACCUCUUCCUCUUCUCUGGAAGGCUGCUCCACCGCCCCUGCUAUCUGUCAGGACCUGGAGGAGGACGAGUACAUUGGACCUGAUGGGGGUGUCGGCUAUCAGCAUGUCAUUCUCCUGGCCAAAAGUCUGGUGAGAAUCUUGGAGGGGCCGUGGAUCUCGACUCGGCAUGCCCAAGAGAUAAUUGCCCUCUGGGAGUCUUUUGGAGGCGGACAAGAAGACAGUCUCCUACCCCGAGAGGUUCCGGGCCUAGUCCUGCAGGGGCGAUCUAAAAACUCCAAGACAACAACAGUUAAAGGCUCCCUACUUGGACAAGGACAUGGACCUGCCCUGUGGCCCAAAACUAGUAAGACAGUAGAGGCAAUCUUUUUAGAGCUUUGCCGAAAACACCCUGCUGGCCAGACUGUCCUUGGUGUGAGGGUCAACAGGUGAGCUGCCAUCCUGAGCGACUACAGGAGCAUCAGGACCAUGGUGCUCGGGUCCAGCUGUUUGAGGUCAAUAGGUUGACCUUGACACAAUGGUACGACACUCGGGUUACCUCGAUGGAGAGGGUGACCCUUCACCUGGGCCUGGACAGAAUGACUGCAGACGGAGGAGGAAGACCCCUUCCAUUCUUCGGUCAGGACCGCGGCACCGCUAACUGCACCAUCGACCAGCAGCACAUAUCAACUGUCUGAAGACCAAACAGGGCUGGCUACACGGCAUGGCAGAAUAGAGAUAGAAAAGUCAGCCACCGCAUCCUCCACUGUCCCUGCCUCAGCCUACCACCGCCCUUCCCGUUGCUCCAGACCUGCCCUCAACCAGCAGUGCUCUGCCGCCCCCCAAUGCAAGACCCAAAGUCUCCAGGACCACAGAAUGGAGGGCCAGAAAAAGACUAGAGUCGGGUCAAACAGUGCGUGCACACAAGCCCUACAAAUUCUACAUCUGUAAGAAGUGUGGUCAGCCCAAAACAAAAUAAUUUGGAGACAGUGUGUUCUGGGGACAGUUUUUGUGCCACUACAUCUGGCGGCCAAACUGAGUACCAGUAAACCCUCCUGCCUGACUGUCUGCUGACGGUUGUACAGCAAAUACACCUCCGGGAUGUCUAACGCUAUCUCUAUUUUUUUGUCCUGUAAAUAACAAAAGGAUCAGGGUUCUAAAGGUGACAGCAGGGUGUCUAGGGUGUGAACUACAUGGUCAACCACUCACAACUCUAUUUCUUGUCCAACAAAAGGACCAGCAGAUGAGGGUUCCAGGAAAAAAGAUCCUUCCAGGAAAUUCAGCCGUCCGUGGUAGCCACCUGUUAUUGACAGUCACUGGUUUUUUACUACAUAUAUUUUCAUUUUUCUGUAUUUUACCUGCAGACAAUUUCAUUUCAGAGUAAAAGUUUUAAAAGGAUCUUAGAACUGUCGUUUUUGUUUUCCCUUUGUAGACAAGAAGCUGACACACACCACCUCCAGAACCAGCAAGGGGGCUGUGAAGAGACGGGCCCCAACAAGCAACCCCCCAACUAAGAGAGUCGUCAGUGCUGCCAGACUUGCCAAGGACCUCCUCCCUAACAGGUACACUAAUUUAAGGAGUAGGGAAGAGCAGGCUGAUGACGGACCUGCUAGGAAGACGAAGCAACCAGUGGCUUUCCCUUGCAAAAUCUGUGGAAAACCAAAAAGAAAAUAAUUUGUCCAAAGUCAGUACAAGGAGGAGUACUACUGUGAGGCAGCAGGUGGUGAAAAAACGGCUAAACAGUGACUGGAGAAGACCAGGGCCAAGGGUGUGCUGCCAGGUGCUGUGAAUCUUCGAUGUAAACUCACCUUAAAACAAACGUCCCCCUUUCCGAAAUCAUCCUCUGAACGCCCCCUGAAGGGGGGUACCGCCCCCGUUGAGAAACACUGGUCUGGAUAGUGUUCGAAUUUCGGGAAAAGUAUUGCCGUCUAUUCUGUGUGAUGAAUUGUGUUUAUAUAAAUGUGUUACUGUUAAAAUGCAGGUAAGGCAAUAAAAACACAUAACUGACAAAUGGUUUCAUCAUUCAGUUUGACAUUGUGAUCGACCAGAUAAUAAAUGAUCAGUAGCCGCGGCGAUUGACCAAACGCCCCUGUAGAGGACAGAUUUCUCUAAGAAAAUAUUUCACCAUGUAAUAAUUGCAUUAUGAACACCAAUAG